GUCAGCAUAGUCUAGCCAAAACAUUAGAUUGUGAUUCUAAAAACAGGAAAUUAACCUCCUUGCUGACC
rnacentral:tRNA from 1 species